GGAACAUGGCGGACCAGAUCCCGCUUUACCCGGUGCGUAGCGCAGCGGCGGCCGCAGCCAACCGCAAACGCGCGGCCUACUACAGCGCCGCGGGGCCCAGGCCGGGAGCCGACCGGCACAGCAG
rnacentral:misc_RNA from 1 species